GUAGAGGCCGAUGCGACGUUGCAUAGAGGCCGCGCCGUCGUUCGCUGCCAGAGGCGCAUGGUAAUAACAGCAUGGCCUCAUUGCCGUUUACAACAGCGCCAAUUAGCGUAUACCGCUAUUUGGUCGGUAUUGCUGGCGAUUCACGGUGCUCUACUCGAGCGGCCAAGCGUUGGCCACACGCGCGCAACUGCGUAAGGCUGGCUCGCUGAAGCUGAUGACUGUGUCUCUGGCGCUGCGUGUGUGAAGCAGUUGCACGGGCACCAACGUGGCGACGGCCGGUGCGUACAGCCGGUGCGUGACAGCGACUCGCACGCACCGGGCUGACCCAGCG
rnacentral:sRNA from 1 species